rnacentral:rRNA from 1 species
CUAAUAUCGCAUUUAUUUGACAAAGGCUCCAAAGGAAGCCACGGCAAACUCUGUGCCAGCAGCCGCGGUAAUACAGAGGUGGCGAGCGUUGUUCGGAAUUAUUGGGCGUAAAGAGCACGUAGGUGGGUUUGCAAGUCAGCUGUGAAAGCCUUCUGUUCAACGGGAGAAUUGCAUCUGAAACUGCUAAUCUUGAGUAUAGGAGGGGAGAGUGGAAC